GCCAAAACUAGAAUCUCACUCUGGUACAGCAUAUGUCCUGAUGAACUAGAGUUUGCUGAGAGAAUCUGCUGUCCUUGGUACACAGGUAGAGGCACCCAGUGCCUCGUAGUGCCCAAGGUAGAAAAGUCC
ensembl:snoRNA small nucleolar RNA SNORA3/SNORA45 family